ensembl:lncRNA
UUAUUAUCUUGAGGUUUUUAAAAAUAUUAAACACAUUUCCUGUUCUGUAAGUUUUUCAUGUUUUGCGCAAAGAUGGUGCAUCAAUAAAGUUGGAGGGAUCCGCACAAGCUGUGACUGGUGCCUUUAUUGUGUUCGCAAUUCCAGUUUUUUUCCGUCAGUGCCGUUUACACUUUGGGCGUUUUGUCCACAGGAGACGAAAAACAACGAGAUCCACUUCUGCACACACAACCAUACCGUUUUCAGAAAAAAACAACAAACUUUAUUGCUUCUUUAAAAUAAAUAGGAGUCAGUCUUCAAACGUGUUCCUGAGAAGUGUUCUGAAAGCUCCUCCUCCUCCUCGUUCUUAGUCACACACACGCCGACGCACACACCUCAUGGACCGGGUCAUGUGACCUGGUCAUGUGAUCGCACAUCACACCCACUGCCCUGGAAUCACACCAAACUGUGUGUGGUGUGUGUGUGUGUGCGCGAGUGUGUUGUGUGAUAGGCAGUGAUUCAUUGCUACUGUGCUCUUUGUUGAGAUGAAAAUGUGAAUGUGUGCGUAAACCAACAAACUCUUGGUUUGCAUGCCGACAGAAGUUCACACAACAGUCUUACAGCCGUAUGACCCACGCAACGGCUGUGUGUGUGUGUGUGUGUGUGUGUGUGUGUCUGCGAGUGUGUGUGUUUGUGUGUGUGUUUUCACAGUAUAAUGUCUCUAUGUAAAAAUGGCGAGUUGUGUUGUCUUCAUGCAUCGUUUAUAGCUUAGAUGUGAAUUUCUCUUUUACUUCCAUGCACACAAACACACAUACACGCACACACACAUAUACUUCCAUGCACACAAACACACACACACACACACAGUACCAUGACAUCAGGGACUACAAAAAGUACAACUACUUCAUCAUCAUCAUCACCCGCAACAUCAUCGUCAUCCGUCUAUUAUUGCUUUUGUACUUCAAUACUCGUAUACGUCUAGUAAAAUGUAAAAAAAAGUGUCCUUUUUGUCCUCACAGAGUAGCCGUUCGGAGGUAAACAAAGAGUGUCCAUCCUCGGCCAAUGGCCUGCCUCGUUGGCCGUGAUGUCACGCACCGCCGCUCUGCCGACCCACGCAUACAAAGACAAAAAUAUAGAUGUGUGGAUAUAUAUAUACAUUUAAACCGUGUGUAUAUAUUAUAUCCCAAGGACCGGGGCCCUCAAGAGUCUCUCCAGCUUCGUAAAUAAAUAUGAUUGGUUUGAACGGAGCAGACGGGUCCGGAUUCCGGUCCGGUCCGGUUCUCUGUUCCGGUCCGGUCCAGUUGCUAAUCCGGUCCAGUCUCUGGUCUCCGGUCGCUGAUCCGGUCCAGUCAGGUGUCUGAUCCGGUCCGGUCUCUGAUCUGGUCCGGUCUCUGUUCCGGUAUCUGAUCCGGUCUCCAGUCUCCGUACCGGUCUCUGAUCCGGUCCGGUCUCUGAUCCGGUCCGGUCUCUGUUUUCCGGUCCAGCCAGUCUCUCAUGGAUCCAAGUCCAUGUCUUUGGUCCUCACCCUUCUCCCUCCCCCUUUCGCGCCCCCCCCCGUCUCCCCCCCCGGUCUACACGUUGGAGACGGCGUGCGCCGCGUCCCGGGCCUGGCGGAUGCCGUAGAGCCACUUGAUGACGCGGGCGUUCCUCUCGAUCACCGAGAUCCCGUACGGCGCCCGCUCCACGCCCGGCCCCUCCCCGCCGCCGCCGCCGCCGCCGCCGCCGCCGCCGCCCUUGCCCCCGCCGCCCUCGCACUCGGAGCUGGGCGUGCUGACGCUGCGCAGCUUGGACACGGACACGAUGUCGGAGUUGGCGCGGCCGAAGCGCUCCACGCCGCCCAGCGCCUCCACCUCGCCGCGGUCCAGCCCGCAGUAGUUGAAGAAGCGCUCCAGGUCGGCCGUGGCGCGCGAGUAGCGGUCGCUCAGGUCCGACUUGGAGCGGUGGAGCGCCGGCGCCGGCGGCUUCCGCGACGAGCUGGCGUUGGAGAGCCGCGUGAAGGCGGGCGACGGCGGCGGGUAGGGCGGGGGGGGGGCCCCCAGGCGGGACGAGGGCGAGGUGGAGGAGGAGGCGGAGGACGUCCGGUGUGGUGGGGCGGGGGCGGCGG